rnacentral:rRNA from 1 species
AUACUAGAAUGAAAGGUUGUUCGGUAAAAUAUUUUUUUUAUAGAAAUUCUUAAAUUUAUAGUUUAAGUAAAAAUUCUUAAAUACUUAGUUGGGACGAUAAGACCCUAAAAGCUUAAUUUCUUUUCUUGUUAAUUUUCUCUUAAAAAAAAAAUUUACUGGGGUAGUAACUGUAUAAAAUUACAGUCAUUUUAAAUUUAUUGAUAAAAUUUUAGAUCCUUUUUAUAAAGAUAAAUUGUAAGAGUUACUUUAGGGAUAACAGCGUAAAAUCUUUAAAGAGUCCGUAUCGGUGAAGUUUCAUGCGACCUCGAUGUUGAAUUUAGAUUUUAUUGUGUAGUAAAUUACAUAAAUAAAAGUU